rnacentral:rRNA from 1 species
AACGUAGGGGGCGAGCGUUGCCCGGAUUCACUGGGCGUAAAGCGCGUGUAGGCGGUCCGUUAAGUCGGAUGUGAAAUCUCUGGGCUCAACCCAGAAAUCGCAUCCGAUACUGGCGGACUUGAGGAUGGUAGAGGUUGGUGGAAUUCCCGGUGUACCGGUGAAAUGGACAGAUAUCGGGAGGAACACCAGUGGCGAAGGCGGCCAACUGGGCCAUUCCUGACGCUGAGACGCGAAAGCCAGGGGAGCGAACCGGG